CGGUGCUUUAUAAUAUAUUUAAAGGUGGUAAGGACGUGAAGAAAACAGGUUUGUAAAUGAUGUUGUACAUCAUGCAGAUAGCUCAGAAGAAGAAGCAGAAAUGUUUGACUGGAAAUAUAAACGAUGUUGUACUUAAUGCAGAUAGCUUAGGCGAAAAAGAGAUUGGUGAAAUGGAGAAUGAGACUAACUACGGUG
rnacentral:lncRNA from 1 species